rnacentral:rRNA from 1 species
GAUGAACGCUAGCGGCAGGCUUAAUACAUGCAAGUCGUGGGGCAGCAGGUCUGUAGCAAUACAGAUGCUGGCGACCGGCAAACGGGUGCGUAACACGUACGCAACCUUCCCGUUACUGGGGAAUAGCCCAGGGAAACUUGGAUUAAUACCCCAUAUUAUAUUGGUUAGGCAUCUGACUGAUAUCAAAGCUUCGGCGGUAACGGAUGGGCGUGCGGUUGAUUAGGUAGUUGGCGGGGUAACGGCCCACCAAGCCUACGAUCAAUAGCUGAUGUGAGGGCAGGAGCGGGCACACGUGAACUGAGACACGGGCCCGAGUCCUGCGGGAUGCAUCAGUAAGGAAUAUUGUGCAAUGGACGAAAGUCUGACCCAGCCAUGCCGCGUGAAGGAUGAAGGUCCUCUGGAUUGUAAACUUCUUUUAUCUGGGGCGAAAAUCGGUUAUUCUUAGCCGCUUGACAGUACCAGAUGAAUAAGCACCGGCUAACUCCGUGCCAGCCGCCGCGGUAAGAC